AGUUCAUGUGUGUCUUUACGUCCUUCAGUGUCUCACACACAGUGCAGCAAAGAACUGCUGAUCUGAUUCAACAUGGACAGAUGCUUUCUGCUCAUUGUAAUUAUGGGAACAGGUUUGGUGUCUGGAGACAAUAUUGAGCCAGAUAAAGAGAAAAAUGUUACCACUAAAGAAACAGAAACUGUCAAGCUGAGCUGCUCAUAUAGUACAACCAGCAAUGAUAUUUGGCUUUACUGGUACAGACAAUAUCCUAACAAAGAACCUCAGUUUUUAUUAUACAAAGGAGCACGAUCAAAUAGUUAUCAACACACCUCUGAUGAUCGGUUUCAGUCGACUACAUCACGAACAUCCACUGAACUCACUAUUACUGAUGUUCGUCUGUCAGAUUCAGCUCUCUAUUAUUGUGCUCUAAGAGUUGAAGCCCAGUGAUACAAAACAUGAAACACGUCGUACAAAAACCUGAAGCUCUUUUCACUUUGAACCGAUCUAGUGAAAACCACAAUCAAAACCACAAUCUAUCCAGCCCCAAAUGUAAUAAAAUAUGUGGUAACACCUGUGUGAAGAGAUUAUAAGCCAUAAAAGAAAACCAGAAACAUUAAAAGAUUAAAGGCAUAAAAACAUAAAAAAGCAUAAAAAUAUUGUUUCAUUAGUUUCCAUUAAUGCAGUAUCAAAUUAGUUCACGUUUAGUCAGCAAAUUCCUCUACUUUAAAUUAAAGGUAGGCCUGAUCCUUUUAACCUGUAAA